rnacentral:rRNA from 1 species
GUGAACGGCCAUACUAUGCUGAAAACACCGGUUCUCGUCCGAUCCCCGAAGUUAAGCAGCAUCAGGUCUGGUUAGUACUUGGAUGGGUGACCGCCUGGGAAUCCCAGAUGCCGUUCUCUUUU